GGUUCGAUCAUGGCUCAGAUUGAACGCUGCGAUGCUUUACACAUGCAAGUCGAACGGCAGCACGGACUUCGGUCUGGUGGCGAGUGGCGAACGGGUGAGUAAUGUAUCGGAACGUGCCUAGUAGCGGGGGAUAACUACGCGAAAAGCGUAGCUAAUACCGCAUACGCCCUUCGGGGAAGCGGGGACCUUCGGCCCAUCAUUAGGAGCGGCCGAUAUCGGAUUAGCUAGUUGGUGGGGUAACGGCUCACCAAGGCGACGAUCCGUAGCUGGUUUGAGAGGACGACCAGUCACACUGGGACUGAGACACGGCCCAGACUCCUACGGGAGGCAGCAGUGGGGAAUUUGACAAUGGGGAAAACCCUGAUCCAGCCAUCCCGCGCAGGCGAUGAAGGCCUUCGGGCUUGUAAAGCACUUUGGCAGGAAAGAAAACGGCACGGGAUAAUACCCCGCAACUGACGGUACCUGCAACAAGCACCGGCUAACUACGUGCCAGCAGCCGCGGUAAUACGUAGGGGUGCAAGCGUUAAUCGGAAUUACUGGCAGCGUGCGCAGGCGGCUCGAAAGAAAGAUGUGAAAUCCCAGAGCUUAACUUUGAACUGCAUUUUUAACUACCGAGCUAGAGUGUCAGAGGGAGGUGGAAUUCCGCGUGUAGCAGUGAAAUGCGUAGAUAUGCGGAGGAACAAAUUGAUGGCGAAGGCAGCCUCCUGGGACAACACUGACGCUCAUGCACGAAAGCGUGGGGAGCAAACAGGAUUAGAUACCCUGGUAGUCCACGCCCUAAACGAUGUCAACUAGCUGUUGGGGCCUUCGGGCCUUGUAGCGCAGCUAAUCGCAUGAAGUUGACCGCCUGGGGAGUAAUGGUCGCAAGAUUAAAACUCAAAGGAAUUGACGGGACUCCGCACAAGCGGUGGAUGAUGUGGAUUAAUUCGAUGCAACGCGAAAAAACCUUACCUACCCUUGACAUGUCUGGAAUCCCGAAGAGAUUUGGGAGUGGUUUCGCAAGAGAACUCGGAACACAGGUGCUGCAUGGCUGUCGUCAGCUCGUGUCGUGAGAUGCUGGGUUAAGUCCCGCAACGAGCGCAACCCUUGUCAUUAGUUGCUACGAAAGGGCACUCCCAUCGAGACUGCCGGUGACAAACCGGAGGAAGGUGGGGAUGACGUCAAGUCCUCAUGGCCCUUAUGGGUAGGGCUUCACACGGUCAUACAAUGGUCGGGACAGAGGGUCGCUAACCCGCGAGGGGAGCCAAUCCCAGAAACCCGAUCGUAGUCCGGAUCGCAGUCUGCAACUCACUGCGUGAAGUCAGAAUCGCUAGUAAUCGCGGAUCAGCACGGUCAGUGGCAGGAAUAUUGUUCCGGGUCUUGUACACCGCCCGUCACACCAUGGGAGUGGGUUUUACCAGAAGUAGUUAGCUUAACCGUAAGGGGAGGGCGAUUACCACGGUAGGAUUCAUGACUGGGGUGAAGUCGUAACAAGGUAG
rnacentral:rRNA from 1 species